UUUCUAGUGGCGGACGGGUGAGUAACGCGUGGGUAACCUGCCUUGAUACAGGGGGAUAACAGUCAGAAAUGACUGCUAAUACCGCAUAAGCGCACAGGACCGCAUGGUCCGGUGUGAAAAACUCCGGUGGUAUAAGAUGGACCCGCGUUGGAUUAGCUUGUUGGUGGGGUAACGGCCCACCAAGGCGACGAUCCAUAGCCGGCCUGAGAGGGAGAACGGCCACAUUGGGACUGAGACACGGCCCAGACUCCUACGGGAGGCAGCAGUGGGGAAUAUUGCACAAUGGGGGAAACCCUGAUGCAGCGACGCCGCGUGAAGGAAGAAGUAUCUCGGUAUGUAAACUUCUAUCAGCAGGGAAGAUAAUGACGGUACCUGACUAAGAAGCCCCGGCUAACUACGUGCCAGCAGCCGCGGUAAUACGUAGGGGGCAAGCGUUAUCCGGAUUUACUGGGUGUAAAGGGAGCGUAGACGGAUUGACAAGUCUGAUGUGAAAGGCUUGGGCUCAACCCCUGGGACUGCAUUGGAAACUGUCCGACUUGAGUGCCGGAGAGGUAAGCGGAAUUCCUAGUGUAGCGGUGAAAUGCGUAGAUAUUAGGAGGAACACCAGUGGCGAAGGCGGCUUACUGGACGGUAACUGACGUUGAGGCUCGAAAGCGUGGGGAGCAAACAGG
rnacentral:rRNA from 1 species